rnacentral:rRNA from 1 species
AGUGAACGCUGGCGGUAGGCCUAACACAUGCAAGUCGAACGGCAGCACAGUAAGAGCUUGCUCUUACGGGUGGCGAGUGGCGGACGGGUGAGGAAUACAUCGGAAUCUACUUUUUCGUGGGGGAUAACGUAGGGAAACUUACGCUAAUACCGCAUACGACCUACGGGUGAAAGCAGGGGAUCUUCGGACCUUGCGCGAUUGAAUGAGCCGAUGUCGGAUUAGCUAGUUGGCGGGGUAAAGGCCCACCAAGGCGACGAUCCGUAGCUGGUCUGAGAGGAUGAUACGCCAACCUGGAAAGGGAAACCGGUCCAGACCCCAAGGGGGGGCAGCGGGGGGGAAAUUUGGAAAAGGGGGGCAACCCUGACCCAGCCAUACCGGGGGGGGGAAGAAGGCCUUCGGGUUGUAAAGCCCUUUUUUUGGGAAAAAAAAGCAGCAGGUUAAGACCCCGCUGUUCUGACGGUACCCAAAGAAAAAGCACCGGCUAACUUCGG